GGGUGAUCACAUGGGUUGGGCAGACCAGGAGACAGGCAGACAGUGUGAGGAGGAUGAUGCAGGAAGGGGUGGGGGAGGGGAGGGACAGGUGCUGGGACCUGGGGCAGAAGGAAUGUGGGGGCAAGGCCGGUGGCGUGAGGAGGGUCAGGUCGGGUCACUGGUGUGCUCCCCCCAAAAUUGGACCUAGAUGAGCUCACCAGGUAGUGAGCUGUUUUCAUUACAGACUCGUUCUUCUGGCCUCUGAAGUCAUAGUGGAUGUGUCCAGUCCUUAGAGAAGGCAGAGGAAACCUAUUCAAGAAAACACAGGACAGGAGCUGGGAGGCAGGCCAGGGUGAUAGUUUGUCCCAAGUUAAUGAGAAGAUGUGGGUGGGGCACUCAGCACCCAGCCCCGCAGGUGGGCCUCUUUCUCCCAGAGCAGCACCCCCGAUGUCAGCCUCUCCCCCCACUUCUGAAGAGGUCAACCCCACACUGCCUGGGUGACCAGUGUCGGCCUCCCCUGAGGCUACCGAAGGUGAGUAAGAGGGAGGUGUGACCCACGAGGAGGAGGAGGGCUAUGCUCCCAGAGAGGGGCUUGAGUCUUCUGAUUUAUGGGAGCAGCAGCCCUGGACAGAGGAGAGUAUGGGAUACAGUGGGGGGAAGAUCAAGUUGUCGGCCACGGGCCCCACUGAGUGGAGGCUGCAGCGGAGGUCGUGGUGCCGGGGCAGGAAGGGCUCUAGUGGGCUGUUUGGCUGUGAAUGAAUUGGAAAUGCAGGACUUGCCUGUUUCCUGCAGGAGGGGUUCAGAGGCUGGGAGAUGGCCCAUCAUUUGAGACCUGCUCACCCACGUGGGAGGAUCCAGAGACACAGCUCUUCCCACAGCGUCCUGACCCCCUCUUCCUAGGGUGGCAGCGUGACCGCUGGAAACUGCUGAUGUCAGUUUCAGCCUGGAGGCUGGAGGGGCUGAUUCUGGGUACCCUGGGCCUCUUGCUCGCUCGUGGCUGGUGGGGACGUGCCUUCCCACCACCCUUCGACUCUGCCGAGUAGCCGCACGUGUGAUGGAGAAAACAAGGUGAAAGAUCAUGAUUGAGUCUAGAAAUCUCAUUGAAAUAUUUACAGUCAUUCUUCAUUUUGAAAGUAAAUACACUUACUGAAAGAAAGGUGAAUUCUUCUGGAAGUACGGAGAGAAAAGGAGGGGUUUCCCCUUGGUCCUCCCGACUAUGCGGCACAGUUGGUGUGUUUGCCAGUGUCCUCCGUGUGCUGCAGGUGUGUGUGUGUGUGUGUGUGUACAGGGAUUCGGCAAAGUAAGGAGCAUCCACAGUGGGCCCAUUGCAGCUUCAGCCCUGGCAGGAAAUCUGCAGGGCACUGUAGGGGCCACCCGUCUGGUUCCUAUGUCUGUGGGGCAGGGUCUGGAUUUCCAGCCCAAUUUUAAAGAACAAAUCACCGCGCCAAGCUGUGGCUGACGGCGUGACUUUCCUUCUUGUCUUCUCGUGGUCGUGUUGUCGCCUGGGGGACGCAGUGCCAGCCGGGGUGCCGGCGUUGGGGUGCGAGGAGAAAAGACUUAAGCCUGUUGGUGUCAACAGGAAGCCCUUUUGUUGGCGUCUUUGAAUUCUGCCUGUUCUCACUUCUUUCAAGUCCGGCCGAGGGCGGGCAGAGCGGCUGCCAUCUCCCUGGGUGACCAGCCUCUGAAUGUCCACAGUCUCCUUUGCUGGCGACCGCCCAACCUGCCCACCCCACAGUCCCCCCUGACCCUUUCUAGGGUCUCAGACCCCCCCCCCCGCCCCGCCUCAAGGCCACAGCCAAAGGCAGGGAUGUGACAUGGCCCUUGGGGUGUGGGCCUGCUGAGCCCGGUCCCUCCUGCCCACCCCCAGCCCCCACCACCUCCACCCAGUGAAGGUCCCAGGCGGGCCCUCCCUGGGAGGACGUCAGACUGCCA
ensembl:lncRNA